UACGUAGGGGGCAAGCGUUGUCCGGAUUUAUUGGGCGUAAAGAGCGUGUAGGCGGCCAUACAGGUCAGCUGUGAAAACUCGAGGCUCAACCUCGAGACGUCGGUUGAAACCGUAUGGCUAGAGUCCGGAAGAGGAGAGUGGAAUUCCCGGUGUAGCGGUGAAAUGCGUAGAUAUGUGGAGGAAUACCGAUGGCGAAGGCAGCCCCCUGGGAUAACACUGACGCUCAUGCACAAAAGCGUGGGGAGCAAACAGG
rnacentral:rRNA from 1 species